rnacentral:rRNA from 1 species
UCCGUUAAUUGAUCAGGACGUGCUUGCACUGAAUGAGAUUUUAACACGAAGUGAGUGGCGGACGGGUGAGUAACACGUGGGUAACCUGCCCAGAAGCAGGGGAUAACACCUGGAAACAGAUGCUAAUACCGUAUAACAGAGAAAACCGCCUGGUUUUCUUUUAAAAGAUGGCUCUGCUAUCACUUCUGGAUGGACCCGCGGCGCAUUAGCUAGUUGGUGAGGUAACGGCUCACCAAGGCGAUGAUGCGUAGCCGACCUGAGAGGGUAAUCGGCCACAUUGGGACUGAGACACGGCCCAGACUCCUACGGGAGGCAGCAGUAGGGAAUCUUCCACAAUGGACGCAAGUCUGAUGGAGCAACGCCGCGUGAGUGAAGAAGGGUUUCGGCUCGUAAAGCUCUGUUGUUAAAGAAGAACAUGGGUGAGAGUAACUGUUCACCCAGUGACGGUAUUUAACCAGAAAGCCACGGCUAACUACGUGCCAGCAGCCGCGGUAAUACGUAGGUGGCAAGCGUUAUCCGGAUUUAUUGGGCGUAAAGCGAGCGCAGGCGGUCUUUUAAGUCUAAUGUGAAAGCCUUCGGCUCAACCGAAGAAGUGCAUUGGAAACUGGGAGACUUGAGUGCAGAAGAGGACAGUGGAACUCCAUGUGUAGCGGUGAAAUGCGUAGAUAUAUGGAAGAACACCAGUGGCGAAGGCGGCUGUCUGGUCUGUAACUGACGCUGAGGCUCGAAGCAUGGGUAGCGAACAGGAUUA